UCAUCAAAGUUCAAGAUGUUAGAUGG
rnacentral:sRNA from 1 species